rnacentral:sRNA from 1 species
UGUUUGCACUUAGCGGGAAGGGUAAGAACCUUCGACUAAGGUUCGACUCGAGCGCCAGCGAGAGAACGUUGCCGCAGGCAACGGCCCGAAGGGCGAGGAAUCCUUCCCCCACCACCA